rnacentral:tRNA from 1 species
AGGUGUGGCUGGAUCACCUCCUUAAAGGGAGACCUAAUUCAGGUAUGGGAUGAAAAAAAAGUAGUCCCAACCAAGAAUCAAUCCCAAAAGGUCGGAGCGAGGCAAAAUUGGCUUUCAAACUAGGUUCUGGGUUCACACAAGACCUGAAUCAGGAACAAGGGCUAUUAGCUCAGGUGGUUAGAGCGCACCCCUGAUAAGGGUGAGGUCCCUGGUUCGAGUCCAGGAUGGCCCACCUGCACAGGUGGCCAAAACAAAGAAAAAAAGCUCCGAAUCAGCACCUUAUCUUACUUAUAUAGUAAGAGAGAAUGCUGGCUCUGAGUACAGAGUCCAGAGGAACCUUGAAAACUGCAUAGAGCUAGGUGAAAAAGCCAAAAAAGAAGACCGCC